GUUCAGUAACACGGCAAAACUUCAAACCUCACCUCGAUUUUGCUGCUUGUUUAUGCCCAUCAGAGCCCAGCUUGAACCUUCAUUCAACACAGCUCUGUUCUCUCAAACUACACAGUAAGCAUCCAGAUGAGUCGGCACACUCAAAGUUUCUUUCUCUUGUUAAACAGUUCACAGUCUCUACUUUCAGCUUCUAGUGCAAUGUGCAUUAGGUCCAGACCUUCCAUGAGCACCUUAUACUGCAGCACAAGAUUUCAAGGUGUCACUAAGUGGCCAUAAAUAGACAGUCAAAGAGCUGAUAAGAGCUUCAAAGAGGGCAGAUAAAGGAGUUAGAGGGUCAAACAAAAAGGAAAAAAUUGGGGGUAAAAAAAAAGAUGUGUCUGAUUAAAAGUUAAAAUUGCAAAGAAAAGCAAAGAGAUGACCAUAAAAAGAUGCAUUUUUCCCCCGAAGCUGUAUUUACACAGCAGACAUCUUAUCUUGACAGCACCGUCGAUGACAGUUCCAGGCCCUCUGCUCCCUCUGUGUCUAUCAGCUGUACUCCAGUCUUCUCUCUCGCCUUCAUCAUCCUACACUGCCACUGACCUACAUGUCUACUUGGCAGCAGCAGAAAUGACAUUACACUAACCAGACCCCUCUUUCACCAAAGCCUGCCGCUUGGGCCCCCAGUUAGACUAACGGGCUUUCAAAGGACAUUAAUGGGCGGAUAUGUCCAACACAAGAGCAAUCAUACAGCUCAAAUGGGACAAAAAUGGAAAAAAGAAAAAAAAAAAAAAAAAGAGAGAGCAGCUAUAACAAGUAAAUGAUUGGCCAGAGCAUGAUGAGUGGGCUGUACCUUUCAUAGCUCCCCUGCUUCCAGUUUUUCUUUAUGAACAGAUUGUCUCCAGGAAAAAUAUCCAGUCAGAAGAAAACAAAAGAAGCAGGACAGUGUCAGACUGUAAGAAGGUUAGGACUGGACAGACUAGUGUGGAAUCAAAUGGUGGCUCACCAGUAACCACAGCUUACAAAUCAAAACAGGGUGGGUUUUUGGCGGUGACGAGUGCUGACCUGCUUAGGCAGCAACAGUUAGCAAAUAAGUGAGACUUCUGGGAAGGGAUCACUAUGAA
ensembl:lncRNA